rnacentral:rRNA from 1 species
UUGAACGCUGGCGGCAUGCUUUACACAUGCAAGUCGCACGGUAACAGGCCUUCGGGUGCUGACGAGUGGCGAACGGGUGAGUAAAGCAUCGGAACGUACCCAGAGGUGGGGGAUAACGCAGCGAAAGCUGUGCUAAUACCGCAUGUGAUCUGAGGAUGAAAGCGGGGGACCGAGCAGCAAUGUUUGGCCUCGCGCCUUUGGAGCGGCCGAUGUCGGAUUAGCUAGUUGGUGGGGUAAAGGCCUACCAAGGCGACGAUCCGUAGCUGGUCUGAGAGGACGACCAGCCACACUGGGACUGAGACACGGCCCAGACUCCUACGGGAGGCAGCAGUGGGGAAUUUUGGACAAUGGGCGCAAGCCUGAUCCAGCAAUGCCGCGUGCGGGAAGAAGGCCUUCGGGUUGUAAACCGCUUUUGGCAGGAACGAAACGGUGUCCGCUAAUACCGGGCGCUAAUGACGGUACCUGCAGAAUAAGCACCGGCUAACUACGUG